rnacentral:tRNA from 1 species
GCGGAGCUGGCGGAAUGGCAGACGCAGCGGAUUCAAAACCCGCCGCCUUUGGCAUAAGGGUUCAAGUCCCUUGCUCCGCACCA